UAACAUCCAGUAUUUUAAUAUUUAUGCUUGAUAAGUCAUUUAAGUUGAAGACUCUUUAUGUAUUAAUUUCAGCAAGUAACAUAACCACACAGAAUAGACAAUGAAAGCAUAAUUAGUCAUUAUACACAAUUAUAAUUUGAUAAAAAAUUUCAACAUAUACAGAAGUAUAAAGAAUGUGUAUCUAUCAUGCAGCUUCUACAAUUAUCAUUCCAACUCCUCGUUUCUUUGAUAUUGCCAACAAUUUACACCCUGCCCCAAUUCCAAAUUUGGAAACAAGUCCCAGAUAUUAAUAUAAUUUCCUCUUCAACAUUUCAGUAUGCCUGAGAGAUUCUUGUUUAAAAAAAACAUUUUUUUGAGGGGCACAGGGUCUCUCUCUGUCACCCAGGCUGGAGUGUAAUGGUGCGAUCUUGGCUCACUGCAACCUCUGCCUCCCAGGCUCAAGCAAUUCUCCUGGUUCAGCCUCCCAGGUAGCUAGGACUACAGGCGCACACCACUGCUCUAGGACUGUGUACUCUUUUAGAGAUGGGGUUUCACCAUGUUAGCCAGGCUGGACUCAAACUUCUGAGCUCAGGUGAUCCGCCCACCUUGGCCUCACAAAGUGCUGGGAUUACAGGCAUAAGCCAGGGUGCCAAGCCUUGUUUUAAAAUUUAAUCUUUAUGCUCUGAAUGGAAAGGCUAUAAAUGGAGUUCAAUGAAAGGAAAAAACAUUUAAAAAAUAGAAGUUCUUUCUUUCUUCUUUUUAAGAUGGAGUCUUGCUCUGUUGCCCAAGCUGGAGUGCAGUGGCACGAUCUCAGCUCACUGCAGCCUCCCCUGGGUUCAAGUGAUCCUCCUGCCUUAGCCUCCCAAGUACCUGGGAUUACAAGCGUGCACCACCAGGCCUGGCUAAUUUUUUGUAUUUUUAGUAGAGAUGGGGUUUCGCCGUGUUGGCCAGGCUGGUCUGGAACUCCUGGCCUCAAGUGAUCCAUCUGCCUCGGCCUCCCAAAGCACUGGGAUUACAGGUGUGAGCCACUGUAUCCAGACAAAAAUAAAAUUUAAUCAUAACAUCAUUCUAAUAAUAAAACAUCACAGCCAAACAAAAUUAAUGAUUCCUUGGUAUCAUUAAAUAUCCAGUUAAUCCCACAUUUAAUACCACUUACAGCCCAUUAUUACUUUUGUUAUAUUAUCACAGCCAGUUCCAAAACUUAUAGCCCAUUAAGUGUAUGAGUUUACACCUGCAUUUAUAUUAUCUCUGAUUUCUUUUUUUUUUUUUUGAGACAGAGUCUCACUCUGUUGCCCCAGGUUGGAGUGCAGUGGCGUGAUCUUGGCUCACUGCAACCUCCACCUCCUGUGUUCAAGCAAUUCUCUUGUGCCUCAGCCUCUUGAGUAGCUGGGAUUACAGGCACACACCAUCACGUCCAGCUAAUCUUUUGUAUCUCUAGUAGAGAUAGGCUUUUGCCAUGUUGCCCAGGCUGGUCUUGAACUCCUGGCCUCAAGUGAUCCACCUGCCUUGGCCUCCCAAAGUGCUGGGCUUAUAGGCAUGAGCCACUAUGCCCAGCCUCUGAUUUCUUUUUUCUUUUUUUUGAGGCAGAGUCUUGCUCUGUUGCCCCGGCUGGAGUGCAGUGACACGAUCUUGGCUCACUGCAACCUCCACCUCCCGGAUUCAAGCAAUUCUCCUAACUCAGCACCCAAGCAGCUAGGAUUACAGGCAUGCACCAGCACGCCCGACUAAUUUUUGUAUUUUUAGUAGAGACGGGGUUUUGCCAUGUUGGCCAGGCUGGUUUCUAACUCCCGACAUCUGGUGAUCUGUCUGCCUGGGCCUCCCAAAGUGCUGGGAUUACAGGCGUGAGCCACCUUGCCCGGCAAGCAGCCUCUGAUUUCAACUCAAGAGACAGAAGAGGAUCCCAAAUUCCAAGCAACUCCCAAGAUGCAAAUCAAAAUAUGGAAAUGUUAAACAAAUUGAAGGAUUUCCCAAUAGUUACCUGCAACACCUAAAGGUCACUGUUUCCAAAUGGUGCAAGAACUAUGCAAACAAUAUGUUGGUUGCUGUUAAAUUCAAGGACAGGACACUAUUAACAGUUAUAACAUUUUUGUAUGGACCUUUAUGAAUCUGUGGGAAACUAGAGACGCGCUGUCUUAGCUUAGGAUGCCAUAAAACUACCAUGGGCUUAAAUAAUAGAAAUUUAUUUCUCACAGUUCUGGAGCAUGGGAAGUCCAAGAUCAAGGUGCCAGCCAAUUUGGUUCCUGGUGGGGGCUCCCUUUCUGGUUUGGAAGUGGCCGUCUCACUGUAUUCUUAUAUGGCUUUUCCUCUGCUCUUGAGGAGGAAGAUUUCUCUCUUCUUCUUAUAACGCCACUAAUCCCAUAAUGAGGGCCCUACCGUCAUGACCUAUCUAACCCAUAUUACCUCCAAAGGCCCCAUCUCCAGAUACUAUCACAUUGGACUCCAAAUAUUUAUUUAUUAUGGGACUCCAAAUAUUUAUUUAUUUUUUUGAGAUGCAAUCUCGCAUUGUUGCCCAGGCUGGAGUGUACUGACGCGAUCUCAGCUCACAACCUCUGCCUCCCGGGUUCAAAGCAAUUCUCCUGCCUCAGCCUCCCCAGUAGCUGGGACUACAGGCGUGUGCCACCAUGCCUGGCUAAUUUUUGUAUUUUUAGUAGAGACAGGGUUUCACUAUGUUGGCCAGGCUGGUCUUGAACUCCUGACUUUGUGAUCCACCGCCUUGGCCUCCCAAAGUGCUGGGAUUACAGGUGUGAGCCACCGUGCCCAGCCCUCCAAAUUUUUUUUUUUUGGAGACAGUUUCCCUCUUGUUGCCCAGGUGAAGUACAAUGGCAUGAUCUCGGCUCAGUGCAACCUCCACCCCCUGGGUUCAAGAGAUUCUCUUGCCUCAGCCUCCCGAGUAGCAGGGAUUACAGGUGCUCACCAACACGUCCCGGUAAUUUUUGCAUUUUUAGUAGAGACGGGGUUUUGCCACGUUGGCCAGGCUGGUCUCAAAACUCCUGACCUCAGGUGAUUCACCCACCUCGGCCUCCUAGUGCUGGGAUUACAGGCGUGAGCCAUCGCAAUUGGCAAUUUUUUUUUUUUUUCUUGAGACAAGGUCUUGCUCUGUCACCCAGGCUGGCAAUAUCAUGGCUCACUGCAGUCUCAAACUUCUGGGCUCAGGCAAGCCUCCUGAGUAGCUGGGACUACAGGUGUAUGCCACCACACCUGGCUAAUUAAAAAUUUUUUUUUUUUUUGUAGAGACGGGGUCUCACUAUGUUGUCCAGGCUGGUUCUGAACUCCCGGACUCAAGCAAUCCUCCCACCUAGGCCUCCCAAAGUGUUAGGUUUACAGGUGUGAGUUACCAUGUCUGGCUUCCAAAAUAUGAAGUUUGGGAGGACAUAAACAUUUAGUCUAUAACAUAUAUUAAGUUGGUACACUACAAAGUAAGCAAAAGUAUAUACAUCCAAAUAGCUGGGAAAAGGUGAGAGCAUUAAGGACAAGCAAACAUGUGACUGUUUCUAGCCAUUUGCCAGAUUUACCUAUGAGCUUAACAAUGAAGCUAGAACUGAACCAAGCUACUGUUUUCUGACUAAAGAGAUGUCUUCGUAAGCAGUAAUGUGGGGUAACCCAUAAUGAGGAAAACUUAGUCAUAAAGGAGAAAAGCAAGAGAAACAGAGAAUUAGCAGGAUUUUUUUUUUUUAAAAAGAAUGAAUUCAUGAAACAUGAAAAAUGAAUGAAUUCGUGAAAACGGCAAAACAUAUUUUUACCAUUUCCGAUAUGUACAGUGACAAGUUCUUUUGAUACCAUGCCCUAGACUGUGUAUUACCCAUCUAUUCAGCAGUUAUCUCAACAGGUAUCAUGACAUUUUCAAACUCUGACUCAAAAAAGGGGUAUAGUCACUUAAAUUUGUGUAGAUCAGGCACUAUUAGCACAGUUUUCCAGAUAGUACUGAUUACUUAAACAUGUCAAAAUAAUUAUUACUAGUAGUUGAGUCCUUACUUUUCUAAGCACUUUAUAUUUAUUUAGUCCUCUCAAAUACAAGGUAGAUUCUAUCAUAUUCCCCAUUUUAUAGGGGGGAACUGAAGUAUAGAGAUUAUGCAACUUCCAAGCAGCUGGGCCUCAAAGAUUAAGAUGCUCUAGAAAUCAUGAUUUGUAAAAUGAAUAAGAAGUUUGGCAAGUCAGAGACCCACAGGCCAUAUCUCUUUUCCUCCUCCUGCUACUUUUACUCCAAGUAACUCAGAUAAUUAUUCCUGAAAAUCUUUCUUCACACCCUGAUAAAAAUCCCCAGUUUAGAUGGAAUUCAUAGCCCAAUAUCCCUUUCUCCCUCCCUGUACCACCUCAGCACUGAAGCAAGAUUAAUUAAACAUCUUUUUUUUUUCUUGAGUCUUACUCUGUAGCCCAGGCUGGUGCAGUGGUGUGAUCCUGGCUCACUGCAGCCUCAACCUCCUGGCCUCAAGCAAUCUUCCCACCUCAGGAUGAGUAGCCGUCACUACAGGCAGCACCACCAUGCCCGACUAAUUUUUGUAUUUUUUUGUAGAGAUGGGAUUUUGCUCUAUUGCCCAGGUUGGUCAAAAAUCAUUUUCAGUUCCUGUAUCAGGGAACUUUUUAAAAAAAUUAGUGAUUUUUUCCUCCUUACCAUGUUAAUUUUCUGCAACUCAAACAAAGGCUGAAGUAUCCUUUUAGAUUCUACUAAGCUUGCACAUUUGCCCAAAAAAAGUGUGGGUGGAGCUGUUUAUAGUCAUUCCAGGUUCCUCUCCAGGUUUGCUGGUCAUUUGACAACCUAAGCAACCAUGUUUUUACUAGUUGUAGGUGUGUAGCUGCAGGAGCAGCAGCAGAAAAAUUCUAUAUCCUGAACAAAUUCUGUCAACUGAACCCCAUUUCUCUCAAUUUAACCAAAUGAUAUUGUUACUGUUCCUGAAAAUAUUAAUUAAGACUUGAAAUAAUCUGCCCUUCAAAAGCUGGUAGGUAAAAAUCCAAAAACUUGGCAGCACUCUAAUCCAUCAGCAAUGCUGGGGUGAAAACAUUUAGUACAUAGAGGGCAAAUUAAAAAUACAUAUAUGCCUUUUUGCAGAGCAAUUCCACCUGUGGAAACUGAGAUGAGACAUAUUUAAAUAUACAAGGAAAGAUGUACAUCCAAGGAUAAUCAUUCAAGCACUAGAGUACAAAAGAAACUCAAUGUCCCUAAACUGGGUGAUAACCAAAUAAUGUGCAGUGGUUAAGAAAAAAUGUCGCCUUUUUGCACUGAGAUGGAAAAGCCAUCUCAAGUCCAAUGUGCAGAAGGGUUUGUACGGUAUUUUCUCCUACAUAAAAAUGGGGGAGGGGGAAUAAGAACAUUUAUUCUCACAUAUGUAUGUAUGAAAAAAUGUGUAUGUGGAAAAAUAUACAAGAGGCUGGGCACUGUGAUUCAUGCCUGUAACUCCACUUUGGGAGGCCGAGGCAAGCGAUCACCUGAGGUCAGGAGUUCAAGACCAGCCUGGCCAACAUGGUGAAACCCCGUCUCUACUAAAAAUAUAAAAAUUAGCCGGGCGUGGUAGCACGCGCCUGUAGUCCCAGCUACAUGGGAGGCUGAGGCAGGAGAAUUGCUUGAACUCGGGAGACGGAGGUUGCAGUGACCCAAUAUCACGCCACUGCACCCCAGCCUGGGCGACAGAUCGAGACUAUGUCUCAAAAAAAAAAAAAAAAAAAAAAAAGAAAGAAAGAAUAUGCAAGAAACAAAAAGUAGAGGUUACUUCAGUAGUGAUAACUGGAUGGGUGGAAGUGAUGAUUAAAAAAUUUUUUUUGAACCAGUGAAUGCCUUAUCUAUUCAAAUAAUUUUUAAAAAUUGGCUAGAAGCUCUAAUCAACCAACCAACAACUAUUAAAUGCCUGCUUGUCUUAAAAUAGAGUCUACAGGCUAGGUAGCCCAAAUGCAACCUUAACUCUGAGAUACAAAAUAUAAGGUUGAAUGAGUGGCUGUGCCUAAACAAUUUCUGGAAAUCAAAGUUCUUGGUGCCUCUGGGGAAUUCUGAUAUCAGUGACUUGGCCAAAGAAUUUCACUUGCUUACUGGUGGUCUUCUCUAGAACUCACGAGCAGGGAGACAAAUGGAGAUAGGGUGAGAUGCUCACCCAACAAAGUGAAAAAUUUUCAGCAGUGUGUCUGCCAAAAAUCCACACAUUAUUCAUCUGCAAACCUAAAAACAGGUAGGAAGGAACCAGUAAUUGUUUUAUGGUACAGAAUUUUUAAAAAAUUUUCUUUAAUGUUAUAAUGCUAUUUGUAUGGUAAAUGAGUUUAAUAAAUCUGAUAAGAAAAAGUCUUCCUCAUUGAUUACAGUAGUUUAUACAUUUUAAGGAGAUACUGAUGCUUUUCAAAAGGCAUGUGUUCAUCACCAGGAUAAGUUAUCUUUCAUUCCAAGUAUUAAUGACCUUUGAUUGGCAAAACCAUAUUGAUCUUUUCUCUUAGAAUUUCAGGUGACUAAAACUGCACUGUAAACACAGUGAACAAAAUUAAAUAACACUGCAGUGUUUCCCAAUGUGCAGGAUCCAUACCACUGGUGAUAAUCAACAUAGGCAGUACAUGAACAAAGCAGUAAAUAACAUUGAAUCACACAGCAAGAAAGUUAUUCCUGUUUACAGGCCAGGCGUGGUGGCUAAUGUCUGUAAUCCCAACACUUUGGGAGGUCAAGGUGGGUGUCUCGCUUGAGCUCAGGAGUUCAAGACUAGCCUGGGCAACAUGGCAAAACCCCAUCUCUACCAGAAAUACACAGAAUUAGCCAGGCAUGGUGGCUGCGCUUGUAGUUCUAGCUGCUAAGGAGGCUGAGGUGGGAGAAUCACCUGAGCAUGGGAAAUCCAGGCUGCAGUGAGCUGAGAUCUUGCCACUGCACGCCAGCUUGGGCAACAGAGUAAGACCGUGUCUCAGAGAAAAAAAAAGCUAUUCUUCAUUCAAGCCUUGAGAUUCGAAGUGCUUGGUUGGCAAGAGUAUCUAGAUAGAAUUUAAUAACUGGUUUGUUUUCAUUAUACUAAUUUUUACAUUUACUAUCUUGACUUUUUCCCCCCUUAUUGACAGGCGUUUACAUUUGUCUGGAUUACCCACAUUCACAGACGCGUUAAGACAGGAGUGCAGGUGCUGCUAUGUUAUGGGAACCCCUUAGUCAAAAAACACAAAAAUCCAAUGGUCUUUUCCCAGGGCUUAUCUUUACUUGAGCUAAAUUCUCCCCAUGGUCUUCUGUAACACACACUUAGCCUCUCCAGGAAUGGUGUAGUACACAGAAUAAACUGGAGUCAAGCUGGUUUUGAAUGCUGGUUCUUUUUACUGCUUUUUGAGUCUACAAAGCCAGUCUAUCAAGUGAGGCUAAAAUUGGCUACCUUGGAAAUGGAAAGGAAUAAAUGAGAUAGUAAAUGUAGAGCAGCUGCCAUACAGUUUAACAGAUGCUCAAUAAAUGCUGAUUUGCUUUCCUCCUUCGCUUCUCCUUCUCUGUCCUUCAGUACUUUUCUCAAUAUUCUCUCUCACUGGUUUCCUUCACUCUCAUGGCUUUAUUACCCUUCUAUGGAUGGGUAACUUCUAAUUUUCUAUCACCAAUUCUGACCUUUUUUCAGAGUACCAAACCUUAGCUUUUGUGUGUUUAAUAAUUCUACCUUGAUAUUCUGGCAUCAUCUUAAACUCAAUCCAUACAAAAUUUCUCUUUCUACAAAAAACUUGAAGGCAGUGGGGGUAAGGUGAGAGAGUCACAGGAGUUGGAGUGAGGAGCCACAAGUUCUUUUUUUUUGUCCACAUCAUGGGAUUUUUUUUUAUAAGUUCACUGGUUUUUAGUCUAUGUUCUAUCUACUCUAAUCACCUGAACAUGUUUCCUAGCUUAAUUUCAUGUUUUUCGUCUGUGAUGGAGUGAUAAAAUGAACAUUUUCUGUUUAUAACUUUUUGCAAGCUUAAAAAAUGCCAUAUAAAAUUGCUAUUGACAUCUGAUUCAACAUGGUGGGAUGAGGGAAGGAGUUAAGGAUGAGAUUUUGAGCCUGAGUUCUGCAGUGUCUUUUGCACCUGUCUCGCCUUUCCUUCACCAUUGUCAUUCCCCAGAAUUCAGGCCUACCUUAUCUUUCACAUUUGUGAUGCAUUUACAGAAAAAUUGGCUCAGUCAGGGAAGUAAUAGUUGGUAGUGUGUAUCCAGCAUUGCUCACGAGUUUUAAAAAUAACCAUGAAAUAUAUAAUAUACAUACUGAAAGUACAUUUUUCUCCAAAAAACCUACUUCUCAUUAAGUCAUAGAGUGCUAACACUCAUGUAAUCCCAGUGUCUUAGAAUGUUCGGCUUAUUUGGCUCACGGUUUUGCAGGCUGUACAAGAAGCAUGGUAGCAGUAUCUGCUUCCAGUGAGGGCUUCAGGCUGCUCACGGUGGAAGGCAGACAGGAGAUGACAUAUGCAGAGAUCACAUGGCGAGAGAAAGGAGAGAGGAGGUGCCAGUCUCUUAAUGAACUCACUCCUUACAGAAUACGAAGCCACUCAUGAGAAAUCCACUCCCACAACCCUUCCCACCAGGCCUCACCUCCAACACUGGGGAUGAAAUUUUAACAUGAGACUUGGUAGGGUCAGACAAACCAAACUCAAGCCAUAGCACCCUACUUAGGAACAGAACAUCAACAGCACUCCAGAAGCACCUAUUACCUCCCAAGCACUACUCCCUGCAAAGCUAACUAUUUCUUUUCUUUAUACUUUUACUACCUAAACAUAUAUCCCUAAAUCUAGAUUGGUUUGCCUGUUUGUUGAACUUCCCAUUUUCCAAAGUGGUUAUACCAAUAUACAUUUCCAGCAGCUGUGUAGUUUCAGUUACUCCAACUCUUGACCAACAUCUGGCAUUUUCUGGGUUUUCCAUUUUAGCCAUUCUGUUGGAUGUGAGAUUAAAAUAUCAUUUAGGUUUUAAUUUGCAUUUCUCUAAUGAUUAAAUUAGUUGAGUAUCUUUUACAUGUUUAUCGGCCAUCUACACGCCCCUUUUAUAUUUUUUAAGAAACUAAUAUUUAGAUACCCUUUUUUGUGAGGUGACUGUUUAAGUUUCUACCUUUUUUUUUUUUUUUUUUUUUGAGAUGGAGUCUUGCUUUGUCGCCCAGGCUGGAGUGCAGUGGCACGAUCUUGGCUCACUGCAACUUCUGCCUCCUGGGUUCAAGCAAUUCUCCUGUCUCAGCCUCCCGAGUAGUUGUGAUUACAGGUACGUGCCACUACGUCUGGCUAAUUUUUAUAUUUUUAGUAGAGACAGGGUUUUGUCAUGUUGGCCAGGCUGGUCUUGAACUUCUGACCUCAAGUGAUCUGCCUGCCUGGGCCUCCUAAAGUGCUUGGAUUACAGGUGUUAGCCACUGCCUGGCCUCUACCCAUUUUUUUAUUGGAUGUCUUCUUUUUUAUUGAUUUGUGGGAGUCUACAAAUUCAAGAUAGCAGCAAAGAGAUGUAUUUCUAUUGUAGACAUGAAUGCAUUUGGCUGGGUGUGGUGGAUUACAUCUGUAAUCCCAGCACUUUGGGAGGCUGAGGUGGGAGGAUCACUUGAGCUCAGGAGUUUGAGAAUAGCCUGGGCAACGUGGCAAAACACAGUCUCUACAAAACAUACAAAAAUGAGCUGGGCGUGGUGGUGUGCACCUGUAGUCCCAGCUACUCAGGAGGCUGAGGUGGGAGGAUCGCUUGAGCCCAGGUUGAGGCUGCAGUGAGCUGAGAUCACAUCACGGCCUUCCAGCCUGCAUGGGCGACAAGGUGAGACCUUAUUCCCUCCACCUCCCCAAAAGAUGAAAUGAAUUCAUUUGUUUGAUGCUAUUAGAAUACCAGUAACUCCCCUUACUUUGGCCCCAAAUUCACAAAUGAACCCUCCAAAAGGUAAUGCAGUUAACUUCAUGCAUUCUCUUUAAACAAUGUACUGAGUCUUUAUGCCAGGGAAUUUGGAAUUAACAGAUACAGUACAGGUCUCUCAUUUCAAAGUAGUAUUCCUAAUCAUGAAGGAAAUGAGAGACCUGUACUGGAAUCCUGUCUUUAACACCUUUGAGGAUGGUGAAUUUAGGUAAGUUAUUCAACCUAUUUUAGCCUCGGUUUCUUCAUUGGAAAAAUGGGGCAAACAAUACUUAUUUUACAGAGUUGUGAGGAUUAAAUGAGACAAUAUAUAUAAUAUGCUUUGCACAGUGGCUGGCAUACAGGAAACGUUUAAUAUAUGGUAGCUACUAUAAACUCGGUUAUUUCCGUGUAGCUUUCCAUGUCUACAUGGAGGGAGAAAAUGAGCAGAUGUCCAUUAUAAUUUAGCUAUUACAGUUUUCACUCUAAAGUAAAAAAGGCAUUUAGAUUUAUAUGUCUUCUGGGAGUUUGGUUCUUCUGACUCCCUUCAUCUGUGAGACCAUAGGUACUUUUAUGUAAUAUGAUAAAAAUUAUUAGAAAAAGAAAAAAACGGCCGGGUGCAGUGGCUCACACCUGUAAUCCCAGCGCUUUGGGAGGCCAAGGCAGGUAGAUCACCUGAGGUUGGGAGUUCGAGACCAGCCUGACCAACAUGGAGAAACCCGUCUCUACUAAAAAUACAAAAUUAGCAGGGUAUGGUGGUGCAUGCUUGUAAUCCCAGCUACUUGGGAGGCUGAGGUAGGAGUAUCGCUUCAACUCAGGAGGCAGAGGUUGCGGUGAGCCAAGAUCGCACCAUUGCACUCCAGCCUGGGCAAUAAGAGCGAAACUCUGUCUCAAAAAAGAAAAAAAUAAACUAAAAAGGAAAAAAGGGCCGGGCACGGUGGCUUACGCCUGUAAUCCCAGCACUUUGGGAGGCUGAGGCAGGCGGAUCACAAGGUCAGGCAAUGAAGACCAUCCUGGCCAACAUGGUGAAACCCCGUCUCUACUGAAAAUACAAAAAUUAGCUGGAUGUGGUGGUGCACACCUGUAAUCCCAGCUAUUUGGGAGGCUGAGGCAGGAGAAUCGCUUGAACCCAGGAGGCAGAGGUUGCAGUGAGCCGAGACUGCACCACUGCACUCCAGCCUGGCGACAGAAAAAGACUCCCAUCUCGAACACAAAAAACAAACAAAAAAAGGGAAAUAAAGAAUAUGCAAAGUACAAUCCCUCAAAUUUUUAUUAGACCCACAGAAAUAAAAUUAGUCUGUUAAACUGCUAUAAGUUUCUAAAUUCUUACUUUCUGUAAAUGCCUUGACAUGGAUGUGUAACAAAGGGCUUACAGACUGGCACUGCCUUGUGGACCACACUUUUGGUGAGACUGCUCUAGAGCGCUGACAAAAAUCAGACUUUGAAUCCACAGGGCUGAAGUCAAAGCAACUGAAGGGUGUCCUGACUCACCAGCUGGCCACCUAGUGGCCUCCUUCUAGUCAUAAGCACAACCUUGUGUCACUCCUUAGUUCAAAAACCAUCCAUUAUUCUGCCUGACUCAAGGGUAAAAUCUCAGUCCUUUAAUCUGACAUCCAAGGCCUUCCAGAGCUGGUUCUAAACAACUUUUUAAGUCUGACUUUCCACUAUCCUCUACUUCACUAGACUGCAUUGUCCAAUAUGGUAAUAACUUGUCCCACUUGAAAUGCAGAAGUGAAAUGAGGCUAAUUUAGGAACUGAAUUCAUAAUCCUAACUUUAAUUUAAAAUAAAAUUUAAAAAUAUACACGAUUCGAUUACCGUAAAACUUUUAAGUAUGCUUGGAACGACUUGGGUACGUGAAUCUAUUUUUUCAGCUGGAAAUUUUAUGAAAUCAAGUACUGAGAUAUGCUAUAAGUAUAAAAUACACACCAGAUUUCAAAUGCUUAGUUAUGAGAAAGAUAAUGUAAAAUAUUUUUAAUAUUUAGUAAUUUUUUAUGUUGAUCACAUGUGAAAUAAUAUUUGGAUAUGCUAGGGGUUAAAAGUGUAAUUAAAAUUAAUUCCACCUAGACAACAUGCCCCAAACCUAGGCAUCACUAUUGAUUCCUCCCUUUCCUCAUUUAAUUGGUAAGCAAGAUAGGUCAGCUUUUUGGAUCCAUCCACUUCCCUCAUCUCUACUGCUACUAUCCUAGUCCAUGAUACUCCAUUUCUUUUUUUUUUUUUUUUUUUUUUGAGACGGAGU
rnacentral:lncRNA from 10 species